rnacentral:rRNA from 1 species
UACGUAGGGGGCUAGCGUUGUCCGGAAUCAUUGGGCGUAAAGCGCGUGUAGGCGGUUCGGUAAGUCCGCUGUGAAAGUCGGGGGCUCAACCCUCGGAUGCCGGUGGAUACUGUCGGACUAGAGUGCGGAAGAGGCGAGUGGAAUUCCUGGUGUAGCGGUGAAAUGCGCAGAUAUCAGGAGGAACACCAAUGGCGAAGGCAGCUCGCUGGGACGGUACUGACGCUGAGGCGCGAAAGCGUGGGGAGCAAACAGG